rnacentral:tRNA from 1 species
UGGCUCAGAUGGUAAAGCAUCUGCCUGCAAUGUGGGAGACCCAGGUUCGAUUCCUGG